AUACGUAGGGUGCAAGCGUUAAUCGGAAUUACUGGGCGUAAAGCGUGCGCAGGCGGUUUUGUAAGACAGUGGUGAAAUCCCCGGGCUCAACCUGGGAACUGCCAUUGUGACUGCAAGGCUGGAGUGCGGCAGAGGGGGAUGGAAUUCCGCGUGUAGCAGUGAAAUGCGUAGAUAUGCGGAGGAACACCGAUGGCGAAGGCAAUCCCCUGGGCCUGCACUGACGCUCAUGCACGAAAGCGUGGGGAGCAAACAGGAUUAGAUACCCUGGUAGUCCACGCCCUAAACGAUGUCAACUGGUUGUUGGGGAUUUAUUUUCUCAGUAACGAAGCCAACGCGUGAAGUUGACCGCCUGGGGAGUACGGCCGCAAGGUUAAAACUCAAAUGAAUUGACGGGG
rnacentral:rRNA from 1 species